UGCGCAGGCGGAUGGUUAAGUCCGGUGUGAAAUCCCGGGGCUCAACCCCGGAACUGCCUUUGAUACUGGAAGUCUUGAGUAUGGUAGAGGUGAGUGGAAUUCCGAGUGUAGAGGUGAAAUUCGUAGAUAUUCGGAGGAACACCAGUGGCGAAGGCGGCUCACUGGACCAUUACUGACGCUGAGGUGCGAAAGCGUGGGGAGCAAACAGGAUUAGAUACCCCCGUA
rnacentral:rRNA from 1 species